GCAGUAGCCACGGGAAUACAGAGGGUGCGAGCGUUAAUCGGAUUUACUGGGCGUAAAGCGUGCGUAGGCGGCUAAUUGAGUCGGAUGUGAAAUCCCCGAGCUUAACUUGGGAAUUGCAUUCGAUACUGGUUAGCUAGAGUGUGGGAGAGGAUGGUAGAAUUCCAGGUGUAGCGGUGAAAUGCGUAGAGAUCUGGAGGAAUACCGAUGGCGAAGGCAGCCAUCUGGCCUAACACUGACGCUGAGGUACGAAAGCAUGGGGAGCAAACAGGAUUAGAUACCCGAGUAGUCCCUGUCUCUUAUAC
rnacentral:rRNA from 1 species